rnacentral:rRNA from 1 species
GAUUUGAAAGGCGCUUUUCGGGUGUCGCUGAUGGAUGGACCCGCGGUGCAUUAGCUAGUUGGUGAGGUAACGGCUCACCAAGGCCACGAUGCAUAGCCGACCUGAGAGGGUGAUCGGCCACAUUGGGACUGAGACACGGCCCAAACUCCUACGGGAGGCAGCAGUAGGGAAUCUUCGGCAAUGGACGAAAGUCUGACCGAGCAACGCCGCGUGAGUGAAGAAGGUUUUCGGAUCGUAAAACUCUGUUGUUAGAGAAGAACAAGGAUGAGAGUAACUGUUCAUCCCUUGACGGUAUCUAACCAGAAAGCCACGGCUAACUACGUGCCAGCAGCCGCGGUAAUACGUAGGUGGCAAGCGUUGUCCGGAUUUAUUGGGCGUAAAGCGAGCGCAGGCGGUUUCUUAAGUCUGAUGUGAAAGCCCCCGGCUCAACCGGGGAGGGUCAUUGGAAACUGGGAGACUUGAGUGCAGAAGAGGAGAGUGGAAUUCCAUGUGUAGCGGUGAAAUGCGUAGAUAUAUGGAGGAACACCAGUGGCGAAGGCGGCUCUCUGGUCUGUAACUGACUGCUGAGGCUCUGAAAGCGUGGGGAGCAAACAGGAUUAGAUACCCUGGUAGUCCACGCCGUAAACGAUGAGUGCUAAGUGUUGGAGGGUUUCCGCCCUUCAGUGCUGCAGCUAACGCAUUAAGCACUCCGCCUG